GAUGAACGCUGGCGGCGUGCCUAAUACAUGCAAGUCGAGCGAACGGACGAGAAGCUUGCUUCUCUGAUGUUAGCGGCGGACAGGUGAGUAACACGUGGAUAACCUACCUAUAAGACUGGGAUAACUUCGGGAAACCGGAGCUAAUACCGGAUAAUAUUUUGAACCGCAUGGUUCAAAAGUGAAAGACGGUCUUGCUGUCACUUAUAGAUGGAUCCGCGCUGCAUUAGAUAGUUGGUAAGGUAACGGCUUACCAAGGCAACGAUGCAUAGCCGACCUGAGAGGGUGAUCGGCCACACUGGAACUGAGACACGGUCCAGACUCCUACGGGAGGCAGCAGUAGGGAAUCUUCCGCAAUGGGCGAAAGCCUGACGGAGCAACGCCGCGUGAGUGAUGAAGGUCUUCGGAUCGUAAAACUCUGUUAUUAGGGAAGAACAUAUGUGUAAGUAACUGUGCACAUCUUGACGGUACCUAAUCAGAAAGCCACGGCUAACUACGUG
rnacentral:rRNA from 1 species